GGCCGCAGUAAUCUGACUGUGCUAUGGUAGCAAAAUAAUUAGCCUUUUAAUUGAAGGCUUGUAUGAAAGAUUUGACAUAGAGGAGACUGUCUCAAUAGUAAAAACUAAAAAUUUAUUACAAGGUAAAAAAGCCUUGAAUUACUAAAAAGACGAUAAGACCCUAAAAUCUAUCUUUGAAGGGAGCAUAUCUUGACUUAUAAAGGUGUCUAUAAUAGAAGAUAUACUGGGGCGGUAAUUAUAAAAUAAACUAUAAAUUUUGUAACACAGUGAGUGAAUUCAAUUUAACCUUAAUGAAUUAAAUAAGAUACUUUAGGGAUAACAGCAUAAUAUAUUUUUAGAGUCCUUAUCAACAAAUAUGUUUAUGACCUCGAUGUUGAAUUGAAUACCCUAUGCUUAGAAGAAUGAGUAUAUAGGGAGUCUGUUCGACUCAUAAUAAUUCACAUGAUUUGAGUUCAAACCCGG
rnacentral:rRNA from 1 species